GAUGAACGCUGGCGGCGUGCCUAACACAUGCAAGUCGAACGGAGUCGUUUUGGAAAUCUCUUCGGAGAUGGAAUUCUCGACUUAGUGGCGGACGGGUGAGUAACGCGUGAGCAAUCUGCCUUUAAGAGGGGGAUAACAGUCGGAAACGGCUGCUAAUACCGCAUAAAGCAUUAAAUUCGCAUGUUUUUGAUGCCAAAGGAGCAAUCCGCUUUUAGAUGAGCUCGCGUCUGAUUAGCUAGUUGGCGGGGUAACGGCCCACCAAGGCGACGAUCAGUAGCCGGACUGAGAGGUUGAACGGCCACAUUGGGACUGAGACACGGCCCAGACUCCUACGGGAGGCAGCAGUGGGGAAUAUUGCGCAAUGGGGGAAACCCUGACGCAGCAACGCCGCGUGAUUGAAGAAGGCCUUCGGGUUGUAAAGAUCUUUAAUCAGGGACGAAACAAAUGACGGUAC
rnacentral:rRNA from 1 species